rnacentral:lncRNA from 7 species
AUCAGAGUCUUUAUCCGACUCAAACGGGACCGAAAAGCCAAACAGGUUCUGAGAAAAUUGCCCAGUCUAACCAAACUACAAAAAGUCUCCUGCGUCUGAAUUUGACAAAAAAAAGACAUUUAUUUCCUUCCAUUUGAUUGGCCGGGAGGAGGCACUCAAAAUCUAAUUAAAAUUCGAGCAUCGGCGUGGCGUAUUAGCUUCUGCUUGAAAG